CAUCAGUGGUAUUGUCAGCAAAACUCCAGGAAGAGUGGCUGCUGUUAGUUAAUUGUUGGCUACUUCGCAGCCAGCAAAGAGGGUCGUUAAAGUGUAUCGUUCACCUCCCCAUUCUCACUGACAUCAAUGGGAAGAGGCCAUGGAAACUGAGGGUGCAAGAUGGCCUCGAAUUAAAUGAAUACUCCAGGGAGCAGAAAGGAGGAAGUAAGCCUCUUCCUUCAUUUCUGCUGGCAGUAGCUGGCUACCUCACGCAUAGCAUGAAGGUGAAAGGGAACGGAGAUGCCCUGCCCUCAUCCAGGAGUCUGUCUCUCCCAACAGACUGACUACCCUGGAGGGGGAGAGACUUGGAAUUGACCUGGAGGGCCAGGUCACAGGAAGAGGCAGGCUACUGCAGAGGCAGAGCAGCUGUCAGCAGGAGACAACCAGUGGGGAGAGACCUGCUAUGCCAUGCCCAACCACAAGGAGGUGCUAGCAUUCCACCCAGUGCUGGGGAGUGGCUCAGAGGAACACAGCAAGUGGUCACAAUUCCCCUUGCAUUAUGGGAGGAAAGGAAUGAGGAGCUACAGGUCUGGCUGCCUCGGACAUGUUCUCAGAAACAUUCAUAAGCAGAGGCCAAGGAUUGAAGUGGUUCCCAUAUUUCCCCAGCUUUGCCUUCUCCAUUACCACCAUAUCCAGACUGUGACACAAACAUUUUUUGUUUAGGGAGUGUGGCAAGUGGCACACUUUUGUGUCUUAGGGGUCGGGUAGCUGGCAUGACAGCCCUGACUGUCCGCAAGUUGCAUUUGCCAUUACUUGGCUGCUGUGGAGACAUCAGUAUUUAUGAACCGUACAUGUCAGGUGAUGGACGAAUAUGAUCCAUUUGACACAUUACUGCAUAAUUCUGCCUUUUUGCAGUGUAGGUGUGACUUGUUGCAUACAUUAAGUGGUAAUUUUCCCAUGACACUGAUCUGACAGCUUUAGAAGUGUUCCAAAGAGCUGGUAACAACUUAAAUAGUAAACAAGUCCAAUGCUGGGCCAGACACACACCCCAUUGGGACAGCCAGGCCAAGUAGCUUGCAAAUUGAAAAAACAGACAUUGCGGAAAACUGUUCCCACCAAUACAUUGUGCAAGGAGUUAUGUCUAAUACCACCUAAUGUACUAGAACCAAAUCUGCAGCCACAGCUAUUAACAUGUUGCACACCGUUGGCCUUGGAGUGACAGUGAGGAUCAAGCUCUGGUCUGCUGUUCCAGAAACACAGGCCCCUGUGAACUGAAAUAGAAUUCCAAGUAAGUGCUUGCAGUAUAGAGCCUAUGACACACAGUUGAGCAAUUUUGAUUUUGUCCAGUAGAGGACAGUGUGGUGCACCAGCCAGUAGAUUCUGAUAUCUUUCUCUGUAA